rnacentral:rRNA from 1 species
UGAAUACGAGAUGCUACGGCGUCGAAGCAGUCUAUGUCAUACUUCCAAGAAAAGCUCGCACUGUCAUAAACAAAUAAUGCCUGUACCAUAACCGACACAGGUGGGUAGGUAGAGUAUACUAAGGGGCGCGAGAUAACUCUCUCUAAGGAACUCGGCAAAAUGACUCCGUAACUUCGGGAGAAGGAGUGCCUUAUUUAUAAGGUUGCAAUAACAAGAUCCAAGCAACUGUUUUUCAAAAACACAGGUCUCCGCUAAGUCGUAAGACGAUGUAUGGGGGCUGACGCCUGCCCAGUGCCAGAAGGUUAAAGAAGUUGGUUAGCAUUCGCGAAGCUGAUAACUGAAGCCCUGGUGAACGGCGGCCGUAACGAUAACGGUCCUAAGGUAGCGAAAUUCCUUGUCGGGUAAGUUCCGACCCGCACGAAAGGCGUAAUGAUUUGGAUACUGUCUCGGAGAGGGGCUCGGUGAAAUAGACUUGUCUGUGAAGAUGCGGACUACCUGCACCAGGACAGAAAGACCCUAUGAAGCUUUACUGUAACUUGAGAUUGAAAUUGGACUUUACUUGCGCAGUAUAGGUGGGAGGCGUUGAUAAUAUUCUUGCGGGAUUAUUUGAGCCAUCAGUGAGAUACCACUCUUGUAAUGUUAGAUUUCUAACUUUGUAUCAUUAUCUGGUCAAAGGACAGUUUCAGGCGGGCAGUUUGACUGGGGCGGUCGCCUCCUAAACGGUAACGGAGGCGCACAAAGGUUUCCUCUGAACGGGUAGAAAUCGUAUCUAGAGUGUAAAGGCAUAAGGAAGCUUGACUGUGAGACCUACAAGUCGAGCAGGGACGAAAGUCGGUCUUAGUGAUCUGACGGUGCUGAGUGGAAAGGCCGUCACUCAACGGAUAAAAGUUACUCUAAGGAUAACAGGCUGAUCUCCCCCAAGAGUUCACAUCGACGGGGAGGUUUGGCACCUCGAUGUCGGCUCAUCGCAUCCUGGGGCGGUAGUACGUCCCAAGGGUUGGGCUGUUCGCCCAUGAAAGCGGUACGCGAGCUGGGUUCAGAACGUCGUGAGUCAGUUCGGUCCAUAUCCGGUGUAGGCGUUAGAAUAUUGAGAGGAGCCUUCUUUAGUACGAGAGGACCGAGAAGGACAUACCUCUGGUGUACCAGUUAUCGUGCCGACGGUAAACGCUGGGUAGCUAUGUAUGGAGUGGAUAACCGCUGAAAGCACCUAAGUGGGAAGCCCACCUCAAGAUAAGUAUUCUCAC